CCUGCCCCUAGGCUUGCUGGUGUGGCUACUGUGUCACAUGUGUGUCAGUAGGUGGCAGAGAGGAGAAAGGCUAUGCCUAUGCUGUGUUCUGACCUAUGAAUAUCAGAAUGAUUAGUAGCCUAACAUC